CCCCGUUGGAGACCUGAUUUAGAAUACUCCAGAAAGCAGAGAAGCAAAUAAAAACCAGAGGGGAAAUGAUCAAAAAGUGUAGAUUAGGGGAAGAAUUCGAAAAAAAAGACCGUUUUUCCUCUGGCAAAAUUGAAGAAUGAAAAAUUCAAAAUAAUGACCGUUGUUUUUUUCCUCUGGAGAAAUGUCCAAUUCUUGAAGUCUGGCAGUCUUGUUCUCUCUAUAUAUAUACUGUCUAUAUUUCAAUUAUUCAAUCACGAUUCACAGACAAAGAACACGCACUUUCACACACAGUAGGUCUUCCAUUUUAUUUUGUUUUCCGAAAUUUUUAAUUCAAAUUGGGCCCAAUUUGAAUGCUUUUUUAAAAAAAAAUCAUGAUUUUUUCUGGUCUUCUUCAUUUUCUGAAUUCUUAUUCUUUGAUUUAAUUAAUUCAAAACUGUGUGUUAGUGUGUGUUUGGUGUCUGAGAGAAAGGGAGGAAAGAACAGAGAAAAUAAAUUUGAGGGGUUUUGAUGAAGAUUCUGGCCUUCUGCUAUACAUGGAAACCAGGCUUCUGAAAAAGAUUGUGGCUUUUUCUCUAACCAAAAAAUUCAGUGAUCGGAUUGAGAUGAUUCUUGAACCAAUUUGAAACUAAGAGACGUGUCUAAAUUUGGUAUGAAGACAUCAGAGUCCAAUUUAGUCGUUUUCUCAGUCAAAAGGUCGAAAUACCAAAGUUCAACACUGCUGUCCAAAGUUGAAAACAGAGCUCUGACCAGGUUUUGUAUUUUGGUCAUAUCUCGGUCUACAAAAUUCCGAUUUGGAUGAUUCUUGAAGCAUUGGAAAGCUAAUUCAAAGGGCUACAACUUUUGUGUUUUGCACAAAAGCCAGUUUGGCCUCCAUCAUAGAGAAUAUUGCGGUUGAAGCGAGGUCAAAAGUGAAUACGCGUAUUGCAACCAAAAUUCUGUAAUUUGUUCAGCCAUUUCUCUUAUGUUCAUAUUGUUUUUCAACUAUAUUUGGUAAGAGAAUUUGGCUGUACAUGCUUCUGAUGCAUAAAUGAGAAAAAUAUGAUUUAUUGUCAAGUCAAAAACAAUAUUGUUUUUUACUUUCUUAACAAAUUGAGAUUUGAAAAGCAUUAGAGUGGAAGUUAGACUGGUGGUGGAAAGGAGCUUUUCAUCAGUUUUUAUACAGAGCAACAAACGGGAGAUAUGGAAGAAGCUGGGGAGUCUGCAGAAAUGUAGCUCUUUCAUCUUCUGAGUGUUAGGUUAGCAUUAGUGUAGAGUAGUAUAGUUCAUCCAUUCUUGUAUAUUAGCUAGAUUAGGAUGAAGAUGGAGAUAAAGAAAGAGGAGUUUGAAGCUC